CCUACGGGUGGCAGCAGUGAGGAAUAUUGGUCAAUGGGCGUAAGCCUGACCCAGCCAAGUCGCGUGAGGGAUGAAGGUUCUAUGGAUCGUAAACCUCUUUUAUAAGGGAAUAAAGUGUGGGACGUGUCCUGUUUUGUAUGUACCUUAUGAAUAAGGAUCGGCUAACUCCGUGCCAGCAGCCGCGGUAAUACGGAGGAUCCGAGCGUUGUCCGGAUUUAUUGGGUUUAAAGGGUGCGUAGGCGGCCUUUUAAGUCAGCGGUGAAAGUCUGUGGCUCAACCAUAGAAUUGCCGUUGAAACUGGGAGGCUUGAGUAUGUUUGAGGCAGGUGGAAUGCGUGGUGUAGCGGUGAAAUGCUUAGAUAUCACGCAGAACCCCGAUUGCGAAGGCAGCCUGCCAAGCCAUGACUGACGCUGAUGCACGAAAGCGUGGGGAUCAAACAGGAUUAGAUACCCCAGUAGUC
rnacentral:rRNA from 1 species